UGGGGGAUACUGCACAAUGGGCGAAAGCCUGAUGCAGCGACGCCGCGUGGGGGAUGAAGGCCUUCGGGUUGUAAACUUCUUUUGCUCUGAACAAGGCGCACCAUGGGGUGUGUUGAGUGUAGGGGUUGAUUAGCGCCGGCUAACUACGUGCCAGCAGCCGCGGUAAUACGUAGGGCGCGAGCGUUGUCCGGAAUUAUUGGGCGUAAAGGGCUUGUAGGUGGCUGGUUGCGUCUGUCGUGAAAGCUCAUGGCUUAACUGUGGGUUUGCGGUGGGUACGGGCUGGCUUGAGUGCAGUAGGGGAGGCUGGAAUUCCUGGUGUAGCGGUGGAAUGCGCAGAUAUCAGGAGGAAUACCGGUGGCGAAGGCGGGUCUCUGGGCUGUUACUGACACUGAGGAGCGAAAGCAUGGGGAGCGAACAGG
rnacentral:rRNA from 1 species